GGGUCGGUGGUCUAGUUGGUUAUGACACCUCCUUCACACGGAGGAAGCCGACGGUUCGAAUCCGUCCCGACCCA
rnacentral:tRNA from 1 species